rnacentral:rRNA from 1 species
CCUACGGGGGGCAGCAGUGGGGAAUAUUGCACAAUGGGCGAAACCCUGAUGCAGCGACGCCGCGUGAGUGAAGAAGUAAUUCGUUAUGUAAAGCCCUAUCAGCCGGGAAGAAAAUGACGGUACCUGAGUAAGAAGCCCCGGCUAACUACGUGCCAGCAGCCGCGGUAAUACGUAGGGGGCAAGCGUUAUCCGGAUUUACUGGGUGUAAAGGGAGCGUAGGCGGCAGUGCAAGUCUGGAGUGAAAGGCGGGGGCUCAACCCCCGGACUGCUCUGGAAACUGUACGGCUGGAGUGCAGGAGAGGUAAGUGGAAUUCGUGGUGUAGCGGUGAAAUGCGUAGAUAUUAGGAGGAACACCAGUGGCGAAGGCAGCAUACUGGAGUGUAACUGACGUUGAGGCUCGAAAGCGUGGGGAGCGAACAGGAUUAGAUACCCUUGUAGUC